rnacentral:rRNA from 1 species
GGGAGGCAGCAGUGGGGAAUUUUGGACAAUGGACGAAAGUCUGAUCCAGCAAUGCCGCGUGCAGGACGAAGGCCUUCGGGUUGUAAACUGCUUUUGUACGGAACGAAAAAGUCUUUUUUAAUAAAGAAGGCUUAUGACGGUACCGUAAGAAUAAGCACCGGCUAACUACGUGCCAGCAGCCGCGGUAAUACGUAGGGUGCAAGCGUUAAUCGGAAUUACUGGGCGUAAAGCGUCCGCAGGCGGUUCUAUAAGACAGAUGUGAAAUCCCUGGGCUCAACCUAGGAACUGCAUUUGUGACUGUAGAGCUAGAGUACGGCAGAGGGGGAUGGAAUUCCGCGUGUAGCAGUGAAAUGCGUAGAUAUGCGGAGGAACACCGAUGGCGAAGGCAAUCCCCUGGGCCUGUACUGACGCUCAUGGACGAAAGCGUGGGGAGCAAACAGGAUUAGAUACCCCGGUAGUCCU